rnacentral:rRNA from 1 species
GACGUAGGGCGCGAGCGUUGUCCGGAAUUACUGGGCGUAAAGAGCUCGUAGGUGGUUUGUCGCGUUGUUCGUGAAAACUCACAGCUCAACUGUGGGCGUGCGGGCGAUACGGGCAGACUGGAGUACUGCAGGGGAGACUGGAAUUCCUGGUGUAGCGGUGGAAUGCGCAGAUAUCAGGAGGAACACCGGUGGCGAAGGCAGCUCGCUGGGACGGUACUGACACUGAGGCGCGAAAGCGUGGGGAGCGAACAGG